AUUGAACGCUGGCGGCAGGCCUAACACAUGCAAGUCGAGCGGAAACGAUGGKUGCUUGCUYCCAGGCGUCGAGCGGCGGACGGGUGAGUAACGCGUGAGAAUCUGCCCAUUUGUGGGGGAUAACUCGGGGAAACUCGAGCUAAUACCGCAUAAUCCCUACGGGGGAAAGCAGGGGACCUUCGGGCCUUGUGCAGAUGGAUGAGCUCGCGUCGGAUUAGCUUGUUGGUGAGGUAAAGGCUCACCAAGGCGACGAUCCGUAGCUGGUCUGAGAGGAUGAUCAGCCACACCGGGACUGAGACACGGCCCGGACUCCUACGGGAGGCAGCAGUGGGGAAUCUUGGACAAUGGGGGCAACCCUGAUCCAGCCAUGCCGCGUGWGUGAAGAAGGCYUUCGGGUUGUAAAGCUCUUUCAGUAGGGAGGAASRCUUACCKMUAAUAMCGGUGAGUWCUUGACGUUACCUACWGAAGAAGCCCCGGCUAAUUUCGUGCCAGCAGCCGCGGUAAUACGAAAGGUGCGAGCGUUAWUCGGAAUUAYUGGGCGUAAAGCGCGCGUAGGCGGUUUGUUAAGUCAGAUGUGAAAGCCCCGGGCUCAACCUGGGAAUUKCAUUUGAAACUGGCAGGCUAGAGUGCAGUAGAGGGAGGUGGAAUUCCGGUGUAGCGGUGAAAUGCGUAGAGAUCGGAAGGAACACCAGUGGCGAAGGCGGCCUCCUGG
rnacentral:rRNA from 1 species